GUUUUUGAUGGUGGUGUGUGGUGGCUUGUGACAAAACCAACAACCAAAGUGCGUAAAUUGCAAACAAAAAAAGAGUAAGAGAAGAGGAAGACACAGAAGUAAAAGAAGAAGAAGAAGAACAACAACGUGAUACAGAUACAACCGCAUUUGGUCACAGAUAGAGAGAAAGAGAGAGAGAGAGAUAGAGAGAGAGAGAGACGCACAGCGUUAGAGGUAAGCAAACGCAAGUAUGUGAAUUUUUGUUGAUGUUGUCGAGGAGCGUCUGUUGGGGAGGGACCCGGGGGAGGUGCGCACAAUGGGAAUGAGGCAUAUUUGCCAGAAAGGGAAAACCUGAAUUGACUACACACAAGCACACACACACUCGCACUCACUCCAAAGCGGCUACAGUUAAACGCGAAGCAGAAGAGGAAGAUGAUGAAGUAGAAACGCGUCGCUGGAAGCCGAAGUAAAAGAAAAAGGAACAAGAAGCAGACGCGACAGCGACAGCGACUGCGACGGCGACUGGAACAGAAGAAGCUAAACAGAAAGCACAAAAAAUAAACGAGAAGCAAAAAAAUCUCAUAUUAUUUUGGCCUUCAAAAAAUUUUGGCGGGCAAUGAACCAACAACAACUGAGAGAGCGCGCACACGCACACGAACACAAGAGCGGAGAUAGACAAACAGACAGACGGCCAAAGUCGGAGGCAGAGACAGAGGCUUUUAUACAUAUGUACAUAGCAUAUACAAAUGUAUAUACAAUAGUAUAUACAAAUGAAACAGACACAUGAUCAAGAGCAGGAGUGCCUGGUUGGGAGGGGGCUACAUUGGUGGACUCAUGGCUCCCCUCCCCCAUGACUAGCAAGUAGCAGCAGCAGCAGCAGCGGCAGCGGGCGGGCACAUGCCCGUGUGUGAGUCGGGUUUGCCUUCCUAAAAUGUCUAAGCCCCCUUUCACCCCCUCAUCCAUAACCAUGGCAAAAGCAGCUCGAACUUAUCCUCCGCCCUUCUGUUGAACAACGCAUUGCGUGCAGACUUUCAAGUAGACAGCAUCGAACGGAGACACUGAGAGAGAGAGAGGCAGAGCGAGAGCGCGCGAGAGUGCGACAUGGGUAUGCGAAACGCAGUCGCCGGCCGGCACAGCGCAGUAAGCGCCUCUUUCAAUCCAUUUCGCCCGCUGCCCUCCCCCUACACAAACGAGCAAGCACGCUCGCGUAAACGACAAGAUAUGUAUGUACAUACAUAUGUGCAUAUCUGUAUGUAUGUAUGUAUGUACAUAUGUUUACGUAGCGAAAUUGGAAAGAAAAAUUAAAACUUGAACAAAUUAAUUUUGUACGGGACUGUUCCGAGCUUUCACGUAUUUUUUCAAGCAACCACAGUGCAGACUUGUGAGGGGUUCCACUCACGCACACUCCGACCAGCACACACACAUAAUGCCAGACGGACAAGAAAAAAACAACAACGACUUGCGACGGCAUACCCAAUGCGCCAAAAAGGCAGAAGGAAGCGGGCAGAGGGGCUGCAGCUACAUGGAGGAACUUAUGCCACAUCCAUAAAAGUACAAUGUGUGGUAAUGAAUAAGGGGGGCAGGCGGGCAGCCCGGGCAAGGAUCUCCAGACAGUGGACCACGGACCAUGGACAGCGGACUUCAGAGGCAGAAGCAGAGGCGACAGCGACAGCGACGGCGGCGGCGGCAUCGUUUCACACGGUCAUGCUUUACAUGGGUUUCUAUUGGCUGGUCUCACACUCUUCAAUUGAAGAGUAACUGACUACGACCGGACUAUGCACUCAAGUUGGCAGCCCUUUCCUUCAUCCUGCUGAUGGAUAUUGAAGUGUGGCUGAUACUACGGAUUGGCCAAAUAGCUUCGGAGAAACACCUAGUGCCUAAGACUAUACUAUCAAUAAAUGAAUACUGUCUGGGAAGAGUACCAUUUGUGCCUGCUGAAGAGUUUGUCAUCGUUUGUAUCUUUAACUGUCGUUCAAUAUAAUACCCAUAUGUACAUAUACUUAUAAAUCUGUGUAUUUUCUUUCAUGUGCUGCCAAAUAGAUCAUGGAGUAUUUAACGACCUAGGAUUAAGAGACUCUUGACGCUUUGAAAUACCCGAAAAUAUGAUUGAAAUAUAACUCUACUUAAAAUUAUAAAAAAGGUAUGUAAAUU